rnacentral:tRNA from 1 species
GGCUCCAUAGUGUGAUGGUUAGCACAUCUGCUUUACACGCAGAAGGUCCUGGGUUUGCACCCCAGGUGGAGCCA